rnacentral:tRNA from 1 species
GGUUCUAUGGUGUAAUGGUUAGCACUCUGGACUUUGAAUCCAGCGAUCCGAGUUCAAAUCUUGGUAGGACCG